UUGCAUCAGUCGGAGAGCUACUUCCAGUCGAGGAUGAUGAGGAUGAUGGCUGGGACGAGGAGUUGCCGGUGCGGUGAGACCCCAACAAGGAGAACAACCCAGUUAAAGGCCAAGGAACUGGUAACCGGAAUCCUCUCUCACUCCCUCCAUCACUACUACUACCACUCUGACCAUGAGCUUCCACCCUGGUGGCACCUGCACUGACACCGGCACCUGCACUGGCACUGACAUUUGAGACCUUGGAUUCAUCUGUUGCCAGCUGAAACCUGCAAACGGGGCACGAACUGUGGAGCUCGAGCCAUGGCAAUAUGCACCCACCAUGGAAUUUAUGUUUGCAGGGCAUCUCCCUGGCCUCUGCGCCGGCUUCGAGCUCCUCCAAGCA
rnacentral:lncRNA from 1 species